CCUACGGGGGACAGCAGUGGGGGAUAUUGCACAAUGGGGGGAACCCUGAUGCAGCGACGCCGCGUGUGGGAAGACGGUCCUCUGGAUUGUAAACCACUGUCCCCAGGGACGAAAAUGACGGUACCUGGGGAGGAAGCUCCGGCUAACUACGUGCCAGCAGCCUCGGUAAUACGUAGGGAGCGAGCGUUGUCCGGAAUUACUGGGUGUAAAGGGAGCGUAGGCGGGGAUGCAAGUUGGGUGUAAAAACUACCGGCUCAACUGGUAGUCGCACUCAAAACUGCAGCUCUUGAGUGAAGUAGAGGCAGGCGGAAUUCCUAGUGUAGCGGUGAAAUGCGUAGAUAUUAGGAGGAACACCAGUGGCGAAGGCGGCCUGCUGGGCUUUUACUGACGCUGAGGCUCGAAAGUGUGGUGAGCAAACAGGAUUAGAUACCCUAGUAGUC
rnacentral:rRNA from 1 species